CAAUAGCGUAUAUUAAAGUUGUUGCAGUUAAAAAGCUCGUAGUUGGAUUUCUGGUUGAAGCGACCGGUCGGGCGUUGAUUCGUCUGCACUGGAGUCGGUUUUGGCCAUCCUCUAGGAAAGUGCGUCUGGUAUUAAGUUGUCGGGCGUAUGAUCCUGGUCUUUUACUGUGAAAAAAUUAGAGUGUUUAAAGCAGGCCUUCGCCUUGAAUACAUUAGCAUGGAAUAAUAAUAUAGGAUCUGAUGCCUAUUUUGUUGGUUUCUAGGUGUUAGAUAAUGAUUAAUAGGGACAAUUGGGGGCGAUCCAUACUAUGGCGUCAGAGGUGGAAUUCUUGGAUUGCCAUAUGAUGAACUACUGCGAAAGCAUUUGCCAAGGAUGUUUUCUAUUGUAUCAAGAACGAAAGUAAAGGGGAAGUCGAAGACGAUUAGAUACCAU
rnacentral:rRNA from 1 species